UUUUUAAUAAUAUUAACCAAAUUAGGAUUCAAAUUUAAAAACUCAUUACCAGAUGUCGCUAGGGUCGCCUUUGUUGUUUUUACAAUGUUAAAUGAGGCGAAAAGGGCGAAACAAAUUGUAGCUGAUUAAUACUUUCUGUGAUUAUAUUCCUGUGAUUUCUUAUACCAAAUUGAACUUCGUAACUUGUGUAGGUUUAUCUUGACUGAGGUUUAUGAUGCAUUAGGACGCUGAGAUUUAUGAUGCAUACUGUCAGUCAUUCCAAAAGUUGACUUAGCGCUCAGUCACUUUCCCUACAAUAGACCCAUCAUGUUGUCAAAAGCCUAAAACUCAUGUGUGAAGCUCACAUAUUGUCGAAUACAAAUGUGUGGAGACAAGGUAUUUCCCCAUUACUGCUACCACACCAACCACACCACGUCAAAUGCCUUACUAAAUUCAGCACCAUUCACCCGUAUGAUAAAGCAUCAGGAAAUUUACCUCAACCUAAGGAGUAAGGCUGUUGGUUGCUGUGAUUUCCAUUUUAGCGGUUUUAUAUAAUGAAAAGUGUGCUUGUUAGUAUAGAACACGCAGUUUCUUAAUGGAAUCGUGUGGUCCUGGCACGGAGAUUCUUGUGCCAA